rnacentral:lncRNA from 1 species
UCAGAAGACUGUUCCCCCCCCCCCUUUCCAUACCUACUUAGUAGAGUGACAGCAAGUGUCGUGAAGGCAGGCACUGAGUUCUGGUCGGGUGGGCAUUUGCCGAGUGCACCCCAUCUGCCAGGUGCUGUGCUGCCAGUGUCCUGCCCUGCAGAGUGGCAUCUGGAUGGCGGUUGCCCCGGCUCUAACGUUUCCAUGCCUGGUGAUUGCUUUCAGACCGUGGACACACAUGGGCCCCAGCGCGGGAGAUGCAGAGCCGCUGUGCUGGCUGAUGGGGGAGAUGCACAGUGUCUGAGGACUCGGAACCCAGCCCAGUGUGCAGAGGUUGACCCGACAAGUGCAGCCAAAAAAUCGGUGUGAAAUUUCUGUUUUAGAAGAUGCAGCCCCUCUGCUUUAAAGGAAUCUAGUUUCUUCUGUAGGAAGGAGAAGAGUGAGGCUUGUCCCCUGGGAGUUAAGCGUUCUUCGGUGUCCAGGGACGGAAGCGAGACGAAGUGGAGGCAGAGGGAGGACAGAGCCCUCCCAUGGCACCAAACCCCAAACCUGCACCCCUAUGGAGGUCCUCAUUCUGGCCCCUGGUAAAAUUCACAUUAUAUAAAGUCCAUCAUUUGUCGACUCGUCCUGGGGUACCACUGUACCACUGUCUCUCCGCCCCAAACAGAAACCCCAUCCCUGCCAGCAGUUGCUCUGUUUCCUCUCCUCCCAGCCCUGGAAACCAGCAGGCUGCUUCUGAUCUCUGCUCUGAGCACAUGCAUAUGUACACUUGUUCUCAUGGCUCCUGAAUUACACCCAGAAGAGGAAUGGUGGGGCAUGAGGUAAUUCUAUUUCAGUGUUUGGGAACCGCGGGACCUUCCUUGGCUACAGCAGCAUCCCACAUCCCCACCAACGGUGAAGGGGGGUUCCCAGCUUGUCCACCGGCCCCGGGAGGUCACCUGCACCCCAGGCCGGGCUGUGGUCCAGGUGGAGUCAGAAGACGGGAGCCCUGAGCUGAGAGCUGGCCCAGGCGGGUUGGGCGCCCGGAGCUCCUAUGUAGCUCAGAGCCCUGACCCCUUUCCGCUGUGACAUCCUGACAGGGUGGCCGCUGAAACCCACGCUCGCUCCCCUUUCUUUUGCCCUUGUUUCUGUUCUCAGCAUUCUUGCAGCCGUCCUAACUCUUCCUCUACAUGUGGUGACUUUGGCCAGAAUUCGCUUGUGUAACACGGGGUCAGCAGAUUGGUUCCCAGGUUGAUUGGUAAUUAAAAUUAAAAGACAAGAAUUGGGCAUCCAUUGGGUGUGUGGACAUAGUUACACUUUGGGGAAGGAGUGUGAAGUCACUUCGCAGGGAAGGUGGGCACAGUUUUGGCCCAGGCCCCCUGGAGCCCCCUGCCUGAGCAGUGUCUCUGUGCCUCAGGGGAGGCCUGCCCAGCAGAGGCUGUGGCUGGAUGGCACUUCAAGGACCAGGAAUGCCAGGUGAGAUCCGGGGGGCCUCCUGCAGCCGGUAGAUGGGGGCAGCAUGAGGUUCCAGA